UACAGAUUCUGGAAACGCUAAAAAGCAGCAAAAAAAGCAACCAUCUGGGACAAUGAAGAAUUAUAUUGUUUUUCCAAAUGGAGAAAAACUAGAAAUUCGUGGCACUAUUUGCCUUCUUCUGCCUAUUUUGCGUUCUUACGUUCAUGAGUAAUUUUAUCGUUUCCAUGCAGGUGCUGUCAAUCUGGAUCAAACUGUAUGUGCGAAACCAUUAGAUGCUAAUCCGAGCUCCACACAAACACAGCAAACUAUUUUUUUAAAAACUGCUGGAGCUACUCCAUGUACUACCAAACCUGUACAACAGCCAUUAGAUGUUAAAAAGUCUGCUGGAAAGCCACAUCCCGUUACACAAACACAGCAAACUAUUUUUUUAAAGACUGCUGGAGCUACUCCAAUACUAGCAAACCUGUACAACAGCCAUUAGAUGUUAAAAAGUCUGCUGGAAAACCAGGUCCCGUCACACAAACACAGCAAACUAUUUUUUAAAGACUGCUGGAGUUACGCCGAGUUAUAGUAAAUCAAUCCAACAAACGUCUUUGGAAACGUCAGGAGAUAUUAUGGAGUAUAGCAAACUAAAACAGCAUUCCAAAACAUCUUACGCUACUCCGGGUCCGAUCAAACCGAGUCUGCAAAUGGUUAAUACCGAACUAUCUGGUAGUUUGCUCGAUCCCGACGAUACUCCAUUCUUAAUCACCAAGAACAUAUUACGACAGCUUAUUCGUGGUUCUUAUAUGGGUCCGAAGGGUGACUUGAAUAUAUGGUAAUUUGUUUUUUAUUUGUGAUUUUAGAUGAAGUUACUAGCGUAUUCCAGGAACAAAGGGAUAAUUUCAUGGAACCAAUGUUUCGACGCAUGGCCGAAAUGGAAGCGACUUUUGCUUCACUGUAUAAUCAAAUCUCGUCACAGACCAAUCAAACGAAUGUUGAUCCAAAAGUGUUGGAAAAUUUCGAGUUUGAUACCAUCGACAGUGGCGAAGCAUUGACUGAACUUGACGAGCGACUUAAAAACGAUGAUCAGUAUAAAAAUACGUUUGUUGCAUGGGUUCAAAGGUACAUUAACGUUCCAAUAAGUACAAAAAGGAUGUCGAAACUGCUCAAAGCGUUAUUUCUUUUACAUUUCUUUGCCUUCUGACAUGGAGUGGAAGAGGAAAAAGAGCAAUGUACACUUUGUCAAAUUAUAAAGGAAUAAUAGACUUGUUUAAAACUGUAGGAAGUACUGAACUUUCCAAAGUAGGGGACCGUGAAGUUGCAGAUUUCUUCAUCCUUAAAUUGAGAUACGCUACAUACUAUCUAAGCCGGCAGGAAUGCAACCAAACAAAUAGUUGAGGAAUCUUUAAGUUUAAUUGAGGUUUAAAAGCCUUUGACUUUACACUUCAUUGAAUUUCGCCUCUUAAUUCAUGUGAUAUCUUAGAACUCUUAUAUAUACAAUACAAUGCAGUACAAAAUAAAUGAAAUCGAUGUUUUGUUAACAAA